CACAUCUGCAGGACUGCACUCUGUGCUCUCUCUUGCUGUCUGUGGGUGUUUUUCGGGUAACAGGGACACCAUGGACCCGAGCAGCUCAAAUUAAAGUAUUAAUUUGCUAACUGCAUUUCAGGAAAGGAACUGAAAACAUAGACUUUCAAGAAAAAUGAGGUGUGUAAUACGAUUAAAAUCAGUGGGAACUAGUUUUGCUUUGAGAAACUGAGCGAGUGUUUUUUAUAGUCACUGAGUGACUCUGACGGGACAGGGGGCUGAGCCUAGGUCUUCUCAGCUGUGGCUGUCUCUGCUCACCCACUGACCCCUGAUAACUUUGCUGUAGAGAGAUUUACAAACCCUGUCCUCCACAUAACCUGCAUCAGAGUUCUCAUUCUUACAUAAUGCUCCACCUUACACCUAACAUCCAUGCUACCUGGAUGAUGAAAGUCUGCCUGAGAGUCCCCAGAAAUCUGGCAGUGUCCUAGAAUUGCCCUUGCUCUUUUAAACAAGGGUCCCUAUAUUCACAGGCCUGAACUGCAGAGAAACCCUGCGUCCUGCCUUCCCCAGAUGACCACCAGGCAAAACCUUGGCCACUGGAAGCUCCGCACAGGCCAUGGAAUGCGUGAGGGAGCGCAAGCAGCUCUGAAGUGAAGCGGCACGCAGCAGCAGAGUCUACACAGUGACUACACGGGGCUGGAGGACUGAUACCACAGGAAACGGCUGCACUGCUGUUGAACAGCAGCACUGAAAGUCCUUCCUAGAAGAGAGCAAAGAGUGGGACCGUAGCUACCAUGUCCAGUGGGAUUUCUUCUUUCAGGCCAUCUCGCUCCUGGAUGGAUCAGCAUAUUUCUGUUUUGGUCAGGUCACUCCAUAAGCAUGCUCCUUGAGGCCCCAUGUCUAUGGCUUCAGGAAUUGAAGCCAGGCAAAGUGUUUACAACAUCAAGGCUGAGCUAGAAGCAAUAAGCCAUCAGGGUCAGGGAACUCCUUGAAAUAGAGACAGAAGGGCUCCGUGCUCCAUGCGGGCCCUGGGGCUCUGUUUCAGCUCCAUUGUUUUAUAACCCUCUUGAUUUUUGUAAUUUUUAGAGAAGGAUGCCUCUUGCGCUUUCUUUUACAGGUUCUGAUUCUACCGACCAUUUAAUGUGUAAAAAG
rnacentral:lncRNA from 1 species